rnacentral:rRNA from 1 species
UGGCGCACGGGUGCGUAACGCGUGGGAAUCUGCCCCUGGGUUCGGAAUAACAGCGAGAAAUUGCUGCUAAUACCGGAUGAUGACGAAAGUCCAAAGAUUUAUCGCCCAGGGAUGAGCCCGCGUAGGAUUAGCUAGUUGGUGAGGUAAGAGCUCACCAAGGCGACGAUCCUUAGCUGGUCUGAGAGGAUGAUCAGCCACACUGGGACUGAGACACGGCCCAGACUCCUACGGGAGGCAGCAGCC